UCUCGUAUACUGUAAUUUGAAAAACAUUUUGCUUUUUCGAUUCUCUUUUCUUUUUAAAAAACUUUUCUUUUUCUUCUUAUCUUUGCUUCUUCUUCUUUCUUUCCUUUUUCCCUCCCUUUUGGCAAUAUCCGAAUCAUAUACUCUAAUAUCAAUGAUACAGAAGUUUAACCAACAAUUCGGCAUAUAUUUGAUUAUUAUCCGUAUGAUUAUAUAUUUCCGCGUAAAGCUACUCUAUAAUAUUAAUCUCUUUUAUUACAAUUCAUUUUAUACAUUGAUUAAUAAAUUAAUUUGCAUCAGAGAGCGGUUUUAAUAUUUGAAUUCACAGAAAAGACGGAUGAUUUCGGCUUCCAAAAUGGUCUCUCAAGAGUCAAGAUGUUGAGAAAUCCACCCAAAAUAUGAAAACAUAUAUAAAUCGCAAA
rnacentral:lncRNA from 1 species